UCCGUAUUGGUGUACCGGUAACAUUUCCGCCUCUCACGCGGGAGCACAGGGUUCGAUUCCCUGAUACGGAG